rnacentral:rRNA from 1 species
CCUACGGGUGGCAGCAGUGGGGAAUUUUGGACAAUGGGCGAAAGCCUGAUCCAGCCAUGCCGCGUGAGUGAAGAAGGCCUUCGGGUUGUAAAGCUCUUUCGCAAGGGAAGAAAACUUACUCAAUAACACUGGGUGAGGCUGACGGUACCUUAAUAAGAAGCACCGGCUAACUACGUGCCAGCAGCCGCGGUAAUACGUAGGGUGCGAGCGGGAAUCGGAAUUACUCGGCGUAAAGCGUGCGCCAGCGGUGAAAUCCCCGGGCUCAACCUGGGAACUGCGUUUGGAACGGCAAGGCUAGAGUGUGUCAGAGGGAGGUAGAAUUCCACGUGUAGCAGUGAAAUGCGUAGAGAUGUGGAGGAAUACCGAUGGCGAAGGCAGCCUCCUGGGAUAACACUGACGCUCAUGCUCGAAAGCGUGGGGAGCAAACAGGAUUAGAUACCCGGGUAGUC